rnacentral:lncRNA from 1 species
CAGCAACAGUGGAGGCCGAUUUAGGAGCGGAGUCUGAGAUCAGGAGCAGAUUUCUUCUUUGCUGAUUGAUUUUCCAGACUGUGGACCCUGCUUUUCCAAUUCAUCAAGGACCCCUGAUUAUGGUGCUAUCUUUAGAUCCUCAUGAAUUAGGGAAGGAAGGAACCUCAGCUUACUUAUGCAACCUCUACCAUAAAGGAAUCCAGACAAGUGGUCAUCCAGCCUCUACUUGAAAACUUUCAGGGAUGGUGAGGCCAUCGUAGCCCAUUUUACCU